rnacentral:rRNA from 1 species
UACGUAGGGUGCAGGCGUUAAUCGGAAUUACUGGGCGUAAAGCGUGCGCAGGCGGUUUGUUAAGACAGAUGUGAAAUCCCCGGGCUUAACCUGGGAACUGCAUUCGGGACUGCAUUGCUAGAGUAUGGGAGAGGGAAGUGGAAUUUCAGGUGUAGCGGUGAAAUGCGUAGAUAUCUGAAGGAACAUCAGUGGCGAAAGCGACUUCCUGGACCAAUACUGACGCUCAUGUGCGAAAGCGUGGGGAGCAAACAGG